UACGAAGGGGGCGAGCGUUAUUCGGAAUCACUGGGCGUAAAGCGUGCGUAGGCUGUUUGGCAAGUUGGAAGUGAAAGCCCGGGGCUCAACCCCGGAAUUGCUUUCAAAACUGCCAGACUCGAAUCUCGGAGAGGAUAGCGGAAUUUCCAGUGUAGUAGUGAAAUACGUAGAUAUUGGAAGGAACACCAGUGGCGUAAGCGGCUAUCUGGACGAGUAUUGACGCUGAGGCACGAAAGCGUGGGGAUCAAACAGG
rnacentral:rRNA from 1 species